rnacentral:rRNA from 1 species
CGGCGCAAGUGAGGAAGUGCAACGGAUACUGGAAGUCUUGAGGCCUGGAGAGGGUAGCGGAAUUCCCAGUGUAGAGGUGAAAUUCGUAGAUAUUGGGAGGAACACCGGUGGCGAAGGCGGCUACCUGGACAGUGACUGACGCUGAGGCGCGAAAGCAUGGGUAGCAAACAG